GGAUAUGGAACUUAGUGGUAGAGUGUUUGCCUAGCAUGUAGGUGUAAGGUCCUGGGUUCAAUCCCCAGUACUUUCA
rnacentral:tRNA from 1 species